rnacentral:rRNA from 1 species
UACGUAGGGUCCGAGCGUUGUCCGGAGUUACUGGGCGUAAAGCGCGCGCAGGCGGCGGUGUUGGCCCGGCGUGAAAGCCCCCGGCUCAACCGGGGAGGGUCGUCGGGGACCGCACCGCUUGAGGGCGGUAGGGGCUGGUGGAAUGCCUGGUGUAGUGGUGAAAUGCGUAGAGAUCAGGCAGAACACCUGGGGCGAAGGCGGCCAGCUGGGCCGUCCCUGACGCUGAGGCGCGAAGGCGUGGGGAGCGAACGAGG